rnacentral:rRNA from 1 species
AACGAACGCUGGCGGCAGGCCUAACACAUGCAAGUCGAACGAGAAGCCACCUUCGGGUGGUGGAUAGUGGCAGACGGGUGAGUAACGCGUGGGAACGUGCCUUUCGGUUCGGGAUAACCCAGGGAAACUUGGGCUAAUACCGGAUACGCCCUCCGGGGGAAAGAUUCAUUGCCGAAAGAUCGGCCCGCGUCGGAUUAGCUAGUUGGUGGGGUAAAAGCCUACCAAGGCGACGAUCCGUAGCUGGUCUGAGAGGAUGACCAGCCACACUGGGACUGAGACACGGCCCAGACUCCUACGGGAGGCAGCAGUGGGGAAUAUUGGACAAUGGGCGCAAGCCUGAUCCAGCCAUGCCGCGUGGGUGAAGAAGGCCCUAGGGUUGUAAACCCCUUUCAGCGGGGAAGAUAAUGACGGUACCCGCAGAAGAAGCCCCGGCUAACUCCGUGCCAGCCGCCGCAGUAAGAC